CCUACGGGAGGCAGCAGUGGGGAAUAUUGGGCAAUGGGCGCAAGCCUGACCCAGCAACGCCGCGUGAAGGAAGAAGGCUCUCGGGUUGUAAACUUCUUUUCUCAGGGACGAAGAAAGUGACGGUACCUGAGGAAUAAGCCACGGCUAACUACGUGCCAGCAGCCGCGGCAAUACGUAGGUGGCAAGCUUUAUCCGGAUUUACUGGGGGGAAGGGGCGUGUAGGCGGGGAAGCAAGUCAGGUGUGAAAACCACGGGCUCAACCUGUGGCCUGCAUUUGAAACUGUUUUUCUUGAGACCUGGAGAGGCAGACGGAAUUCCUAGUGUAGCGGUGAAAUGCAUAGAUAUUAGGAGGAACACCAGUGGCGAAGGCGGUCUGCUGGACAGCAACUGACGCUGAGGCGCGAAAGCGUGGGGAGCAAACAGGAUUAGAUACCCGAGUAGUC
rnacentral:rRNA from 1 species